rnacentral:rRNA from 1 species
GACGAACGCUGGCGGCGUGCCUAAUACAUGCAAGUAGAACGCUGAAGGAGGGGCUUGCUUCUCUGGAUGAGUUGCGAACGGGUGAGUAACGCGUAGGUAACCUGCCUGGUAGCGGGGGAUAACUAUUGUAAACGAUAGCUAAUACCGCAUAAUAGUAGAUGUUGCAUGACAUUUGCUUAAAAGGUGCAAUUGCAUCACUACCAGAUAGACCUGCGUUGUAUUAGCUAGUUGGUGAGGUAACGGCUCACCAAGGCAACGAUACAUAGCCGACCGGAGAGGGGGAUCGGCCACACUGGGACUGAGACACGGCCCAGACUCCUACGGGAGGCAGCAGUAGGGAAUCUUCGGCAAUGGACGGAAGUCUGACCGAGCAACGCCGCGUGAGUGAAGAAGGUUUUCGGAUCGUAAAGCUCUGUUGUAAGAGAAGAACGAGUGUGAGAGUGGAAAGUUCACACUGUGACGGUAUCUUACCAGAAAGGGACGGCUAACUACGUG